GACGAACGCUGGCGGCGUGCUUAACACAUGCAAGUCGAACGAAGUGGCGAACGGGUGAGUAACGCGUCAUCAACCUGCCCAUCAGAGGGGGACAACAGUUGAAAACGACUGCUAAUACCGCAUACUGAGGGAGGGGCUUGUGUCUGAUUAGCUAGUUGGAGGGGUAACGGCCCAACAAGGAGAUGCUCAGUAGACGGUCUGAGAGGAUGAACGGCCACAUUGGGACUGAGACACGGCUCAGAAUCCUACGGGAGGCAGCAGUGGGGAAUCUUCCGCAAUGGACGAAAGUCUGACGGAGCAACGCCGCGUGAUUGAUGACGGCCUUCGGGUUGUAAAGCUCUGUUAAUCGGGACGCGGUACCGGAAUAGAAAGCCACGGCUAACUACGUGCCAGCAGCCGCGGUAAUAC
rnacentral:rRNA from 1 species